rnacentral:tRNA from 1 species
UAAGAUGUAGCAUAAAAUUAAUGCAUCUCGUUUACACUGAGAAUAUGCUUAAAUCAAGCCGUCUUAA